UGGGGAAUAUUGGGCAAUGGGCGCAAGCCUGACCCAGCGACGCCGCGUGAGGGAAGAAGGUUUUCGGAUUGUAAACCUCUGUCUUCAGGGACGAUAAUGACGGUACCUGAGGAGGAAGCCACGGCUAACUACGUGCCAGCAGCCGCGGUAAUACGUAGGUGGCAAGCGUUGUCCGGAAUUACUGGGUGUAAAGGGAGCGUAGGCGGGAUUGCAAGUUGAAUGUUAAAACUAUCGGCUCAACUGGUAGCUGCGUUCAAAAACUGCAAUUCUUGAGUGAAGUAGAGGCAGGCGGAAUUCCUAGUGUAGCGGUGAAAUGCGUAGAUAUUCGGAGGAACACCGGUGGCGAAGGCGGCCAACUGGG
rnacentral:rRNA from 1 species